CCGUCCGUAGCUCAGGUGGAUAGAGCGCGUGAUUACUACUCACGAGGUUCCGGGUUCGAGCCCCGGCGGGCGGUCCA
rnacentral:tRNA from 1 species